CCGAGAUACGAGGGUAGGUUUAGUUAUUAUGGACAGAUACAAUGCUGGACGAGAGAAAGGGGAACGAAAAGGGAAAACGACAAAUCUAUCUUCGUUUGGACUUGGAGGUGUUACCAAAGGGGAUCUGGACACACAGAGCUGGAGAGUUUCAUCAACUGCAUGUCGAUGGAACCUCAACCGAUGCUGGGAACCAUGGCUCACUACUGCUACAUUGACCUAGAAAGCCAGCACAGGAGAAUGGAGGGAACUCCACUGUUUCCAUAUACCAAUGGAUUUUCCUGCCUAAUCCUCAACAGAUCCAUUUUUGUUUGGCUGUCUUGGAGCUAGCCACCGUAGGCUCUCCUUGCCUCAUGCCGAACAUCUUUUAAGGUUUGAGCAGUGAGGUUAUCUCGGUACAUGUGAAUGUAAGACUCCUACUCAUGCUCAUGCACAGAUGUUGAUUAGAAAAAACAUGAGAAAUGCCCAAUCAGCGAUGGGGGACGUGGUAGGGUGGGUGCUGUGGAAUAUUACAGGGCUUGGAGGCAGAAACGUGCAAAGCCUGCACACUGCUGCAGGGUUUCGAGGUGUUCCGUCACAACCCUGCAGCUUCUCGCAUUGCAAUUUCAUGCCUUUUCCUGCUCCUCGUGAAGAGAUUGGUGGUUAGUUGACAGGGCACUUCAGAUGGAUUAGACAAGAGACACACUAGGUUAGAACUAUCAUUUUUUAAAGACCCCCGUAAUCAGGGUACUAACAAAAACAAGCCCUCUAGCUGGGACUUAAGAGUCAUACAUUCUUUCUAGAAGGCUAGUGAACUCAGGCUAACUGGUAACCAUUAUAUUUUGCACUAGUGAUGAUGUAAUACAAACCAGUACAUAUUAGCUAUCAUUCAUUCUUAACUCCAGAAGUUUUCUGUUGUUGUUGCUGUUGUUUUAGCUGUGAUACUUGGCUCUUCUACUCUGUAUCUCUUAUUCUAGCUUGAAGGGACUAUGUAAAACUGCCUGGGGCUAUGGUGACUGUACAGCACCGUCAAAACAGUGCCAUUGUAUGUCUGAUGAAAUUACUACAGUACGUCUGCAAUAAGAUGGCAUUA